UACGUAGGGGGCUAGCGUUGUCCGGAAUCAUUGGGCGUAAAGCGCGUGUAGGCGGUUCGGUAAGUCUGCUGUGAAAGUCGGGGGCUCAACCCUCGAAUGCCGGUGGAUACUGUCGGACUAGAGUGCGGAAGAGGCGAGUGGAAUUCCUGGUGUAGCGGUGAAAUGCGCAGAUAUCAGGAGGAACACCAAUUGCGAAGGCAGCUCGCUGGGACGUUACUGGCGCUGAGACGCGAAAGCGUGGGGAGCAAACAGG
rnacentral:rRNA from 1 species